GACCUGGCGUCUUGGCAGCAGCACCGGGAAGCUGCCUUGGUGAAUCCUGGUCCUCCGGUUUUCCUUCCUUUUGAAGGAAGCCCCCAUGAACGGGUCCCUGGGAUUAAGGAGGAAGCGGAGGUUUUAAUGAAGCAGACUCCAUUCUUCUGAGGGGUGAAGGGAGAUAACUUUUGAAGGGGAUAAAUGUAAGCAAAUGCUGAGCAACAUGCCGAAUCUGAAGGCACAGUUCUCCUCCACAGAACUGCAAACUGAAGACUCAAGGCUCCUGUUGUGUUGAAAAGGGACUUUUGAGCCCAACGAGGGGACCUUGAGGAGCUCUCCUGAGAGUCCCUUUCACAUAGAUAUGCACAGAAUGAAUAGUUUAUCUCCAGCUCCUGCUGACUUUCAUGAAUAAUUUGAUGUAAAAAGCUAAGUUGGAUUUCUGCUGUGUCGGUUAAAUUGGAACUACCAGCUUCUAAUAUUCCAGCCACAGACUGAAACAGACUUUCUGGUUUUAGAGGCCAAAGUGGCCCCUCUGGCUUCCACUCAUUGUGAAUACCUUACCUUUUUUUCCUCCUUUAACUACCUGUCUGCUUCAGGCUCCCCCAAAACAUGAAAGAGGCUCUAGGGCUUCCAGCUGACAGAACAUCUCUUGUGAAUGAAAGCUCUUUGCUUAAACACAGAAGAUUUGGUGGGACGUACAGCUGUGAUUUUUACUGUUUCUUGUUUUUAUUCUCAGGAGUAUGCCAGAAAAUCCAGUGGUCAGCCCUGAAGGGCAAAACAGAC